rnacentral:lncRNA from 1 species
AAAUUUUUCUAUCUGUGAUGGAAGUUUUUAUGUACGAUUGCCUGAUCUGAAGACAAGACUUUCGCUGCAUGCAUGACGUCACCCACACAGAGUGAGAGCUCGAAGUUUUCUUUGAAAGUUUGAUGGAAAAUGUACAGAGACACUUGUCGCAGUUAAUGCAUGCAGUACCAAAUGCUUGCUUUCUUGGAGUAUGUGCUUGAAACAAGAAUGUCCUGGAGAAAACAGACCACCACAAGAGAAGACAUACAUGUACAGUAUGGACUAUGAAGUUCUACUUAGCCUCUUCAAUGAACUGCUGGAGCUGCGACUGGGUAUCAAAACCUUGGUAUUAUAAACUUCAUAACCAGUGGCGGAGAUAUGUUGUUAGCCAGGGGGGAGGGGUCAGUGCCCCCCCCCCCCACUUUUUCAAGUACCCCCAGUAUGCCCCUUUUAUGGCCUUUUCACAUAGGUAAAGUGCCAUAUUACUUUGACAAGUUCCCCUAUAAAUUUGUAAAAUUGCCCCUUCCCCAUUUCACCUCUGAUAAGUGCCCCUUAUCCUUCGACAAGUUCCCAUUAUUCUAUGCAAU